CCUACGGGGGGCUGCAGUGGGGAAUAUUGGACAAUGGGCGAAAGCCUGAUCCAGCCAUGCCGCGUGUGUGAAGAAGGCCUUCGGGUUGUAAAGCACUUUCAGUGGGGAAGAAAGCCUUGGGGCUAAUACCCUCGAGGAAGGACAUCACCCACAGAAGAAGCACCGGCUAACUCCGUGCCAGCAGCCGCGGUAAUACGGAGGGUGCGAGCGUUAAUCGGAAUUACUGGGCGUAAAGCGCGCGUAGGCGGUCUGAUAAGCCGGUUGUGAAAGCCCCGGGCUCAACCUGGGAACGGCAUCCGGAACUGUCAGGGUAGAGUGCAGGAGAGGAAGGUAGAAUUCCCGGUGUAGCGGUGAAAUGCGUAGAGAUCGGGAGGAAUACCAGUGGCGAAGGCGGCCUUCUGGACUGACACUGACGCUGAGGUGCGAAAGCGUGGGUAGCAAACAGGAUUAGAUACCCAGUAGUC
rnacentral:rRNA from 1 species